rnacentral:lncRNA from 1 species
AUCAAUAGAAAUAAAAUUAUAAUAUCACUUGCUUAAAUUAUUAUAGAGCUUCUGUGUUUUUGUAUAAAUAGUAAUUUGAAUACACUAUUUUGCUAAUAUGCUCUUUGGAUAGGUUUUAUAACCAAAGAAUGGUACCUUAGAAAUGAACAAUAGUAAUAAUUUGCAUUUCCCUUGUUGGCUAGCACACGGAAUUUUUCAUAUAUUUCAAAUGAAUGUUUCUUUAAUCUCAAAAAGUACAAGUAAAAUGGCUCCUGACAUAUAGAUAGAUGAUAGUUGGAUAUAGGUAUAUACACAUACAUACACACACACAGUUGACCAGUUAUAAUAAUGACAUCUUACAAUUGCCAACCUAAUACCUCUCAAAAUUAGAAGUCCAUAUUUUUUUAAGGUCUGUGGGUUACCAUCCUUCGUGAUAUAAGGAACACCCUUUGUUCUGACUUCUCAAGGUUAAACACCAAAGAGCUCAGUCCUAAAACUUCCUCACUGCAAAGCAAAAAUAAACUUUGGAUUAAACCAGUGUUUUAAUUGUUUGGGUCCAUGCUAUUACCUUUUUUUAAGAACAUUUGGGACAGAUAUUUACUCAUAAAAUCUACGAUCUCAUCUCUACUGAAUAAUUUGGCUGGAGAGGAAUUGGUUUAAGGCCAAUUUAGAAAAACGAAAAAGCAAAAAGAAAAGAAAGAAAAGAGGAAAGACAGCUGGCGAGGGAUGGAGGAAGGAGGAAAGGGAGAUAGCAGGAAGAAAGGAAGGAUAGAAAGAAAAGCUGGUCAGGGUGGCUCACACCUGUAAUCCCAGCACUUUGGGAGGCGGAGGUGGGUGGGUCACUUGAGGUCAGGAGUUCGAGACCAGCCUGGCCAAUAUGGUGAAACCCCCCUCUCUACUAAAAAUACAAAAAUAAGAGGGGCAUGAUGGUGCAUGCCUGUAAUCUUAGCUACUCAGGAGGCUGAGGCAUGAGAAUCACUUGAACCCAGGAGGCAAAGGUUGCAGUGAGCCGAGAUUGUGCCACUGCACUCCAGCCUGAGUGAAAGAGCGAGACUCUAUCAAAAAAAAGAAAAAGAAAAAGAAGGAAGGAAGAAAAAAGGGAGGGAGGCAGGGAGGCAGGGACUAUGGCAGUGCAGGAAUAUAAGAAUAAUAAAUAGGAUACUUUAAUAAUUUAUUAGUAUAAUAGUAUGUCGCUGAGGAAAUAUAAUUUAAAAAUGAAAAUCUUCCUCCACCCAGAAAACCUCUCCACAAAGGUAGUAGAGAAAACAGUUUCAUUGUUGACUAAGUAUUAAACCAGAAUGUGCAUCAGCACAUUAUAGGUAAUCCACUAAGAGAUUGCAACAAUAGUAAGGAAUUACACCCUUUUAUAAAGCUAAGCAGAUACAAUGCAUUACAUACAUGUUCUGAAGAUAAGCAAUAACUAGUCUUGAAGUAAGAGGGCCAUAUUUUGUCACACUGUUCAUUCUAACUUUAUCUGGUAAUUAGGGUUACCAUCUGUGUUGGCUAAGUGGCUUUAUUCAGAGCA